rnacentral:antisense_RNA from 2 species
CUUGGCGGAGCCGAGCCACACCGGCCGGUCCUCGGGGCGGCCCUUGCCGUACGUGGCGAUCAGGGCCUGCGCCUC